GCCCGCCUAGCUCAAUCGGAUAGAGCGUCAGACUCUUACUGAGCUUGAAUUGGCGAGCGGAAUCUGAAGGCUGCGAGUUCGACCCUCGCGGUGGGCU
rfam:Daedalea quercina L-15889 unplaced genomic scaffold DAEQTscaffold_1, whole genome shotgun sequence.